AAGAACAUGUAUUGUUACCGUAUUCACCCGAAUUACCGGGACACAAAAAAAUUAUUGCGGCUUGCAGUGUCCCUUGGAAUAGAGCAAGAAAAAUUACGUUAAAGUCGAAGUGUCCCUUGUAUUAGGGUGUCCCGUAGUAAUUAGAACGAAUAUUUCCCCAUUUUAAGGUACAUACACGGCCUCGAUUCCAGGCCGAGGCUAGCUCUGCAGCUAAAAUGUCUUUCGCAGUUUAGAAGCUGUGUACGCGGGUUCCAUGUCUACAAAGUGGUGUCUUCAACCGUCAGUGACAUAUUACGGUGCCAGAGAGUAGAAUCCAGAGAGUUUCUAAGAGUUUUGAGUGUCUAUCGAGCUGACGUUAGGGGCAUGCUCUUUUUCGUUCUAAUUAGAUCGGGACAUCUAAAAAUAUUUACAUUUCCUGUUGUUCUUUAAUAUAGAGUGAAAAAAAUUACGUAAGUCCGAAGUGUCCCUUAGAAUAGAGUGUCCCGGUAAUUCAGGUGAAUACGGUAACGGUGUUUUGGAAUUUUUCAUUUGAUGGCAUCCCACUGAUUUAUUGUUUUGAGCAUUCAAAAGCAGUAGUUAUGCCUCGAGGCGUAGCCGCACGAGGGUUACGGUAAAGCUGACUGUGUGUGUCUGUCUGUGUGUCUGUUCCAGCUGUAACUGCUCAGUAGCUAUUUUUUUUUUUGAACUUACAGACACACCCCUUAUUCCUGGAUGUAAUGCGCAUGCGCGCUCAAUAUACUACGUGUAAGAGAAUCCAUUUUGAACCCCAGAUCCUGGCAGAAAUCAAUUUUCUUUGUUGAGGUCCUGGUAAGACAAACCAACCUUUUCGAUAACUCUUUUUAGACUGCUUGUUAUAGAUAUACUACUUUCUGUGAUUGAAUUCUGUCUUCAAUACUUAUCACUGUCUAUGCCUUUGACAAAGGUUUGCUCCCACUGUUUGGCUACAGGCUAUUUAAGACGAUCAAUUAACUGUGGACACCCCUUUCUUGUGAAACAAUCAAAGCACAUUGCAAAGUAUUUACCUCUUCUAUAACACUCUAAUAUACUGUUGAGCGAAAGCAAAAACAUGGCGAGAGGCAUUAGCAAGCGCACGCUUGCAACACUCGUUUGAUCAGCAGUACUUUAAGGGACCAACUUCUAUAGUCAAACACGUCUCCAAGGUACACGCGUACGCAAAGUGGGCUGUCCAGCACACAUUCAUGUACAUGUUAUUACCUUCCAUCAGUUAUUAAUAUAAGUUAUUACCUUCCAUUAUUUGGUGUUUCCAUUGAACCCAGCAACCAUUCACUCGGAUCUAAGAAACAAAGGCAACAAAGUUUGCAGCUCUAAAGCAAGUACUCUUGGGAAAGAAAGUGGAGACAAUAAAAUGUAGUAACAUAAUGUUCAAGAGAUUAUCACGGAUAAAGGCACUAAGACAGGCUAAGGAGAAAUUACUGGAAGAAAACGCUCCUGCUGAGUCCAUCUAUAAUCUCAGCCACAAAGCAGGAGAAAGAGGUACAACGAAUACUCUGAGAAGAUUGUCUUGGUUACAAGAUGCCUGCAUUGUGCCGAUCCGAGUGAAUGGUUGCUGGGUUCAAUGAAACAGCAAAUGAUGGGAAGUAUCAACUCAUAUACAUGAAUGUGUGCUGGACAGCCCACUUUGUGUGUACGCGUGUAUCUUGGAGACGUGUUCGACUAGAUGUUGAAGUAAAGUACUGUGCUGACCAAACUAUACUGACAUGGCACCGCAAUGCUGCUUUCGAAUGCUCGAAACAAUAAUGGGAUGCUAUCGAACAUUAUUUAAUUGCCCUGAAUGGUUACCUACAAAUUAAUAUUUGUAAUAACAAUUUUAAUGUUAUUUUGGUAACAAUCUGUUUUCGUCGUCCACCUUGCACCUGUUUCUAUAGCUUGCUCACUGGAGU